UAGAAAGUAGUUAAAUUAUAAUGUUGGUUUGUCAGGUCAAAGUUAAGAGUUUAUCUCUUCUUUCUAU
rnacentral:tRNA from 1 species